GCAGUAGCCGCGGGAAUACGUAGGUCCCGAGCGUUGUCCGGAUUUAUUGGGCGUAAAGCGAGCGCAGGCGGUUAGAUAAGUCUGAAGUUAAAGGCUGUGGCUUAACCAUAGUACGCUUUGGAAACUGUUUAACUUGAGUGCAAGAGGGGAGAGUGGAAUUCCAUGUGUAGCGGUGAAAUGCGUAGAUAUAUGGAGGAACACCGGUGGCGAAAGCGGCUCUCUGGCUUGUAACUGACGCUGAGGCUCGAAAGCGUGGGGCGCAAACAGGAUUAGAGACCCCCGUAGUCCCUGUCUCUUAUACA
rnacentral:rRNA from 1 species